rnacentral:rRNA from 1 species
GCUGGCGGCAGGCCUAACACAUGCAAGUCGAGCGCGUGUAGCAAUACACGAGCGGCAGACGGGAGAGUAACACGUGGGAACGUACCCUUCGGUUCGGAAUAACCCAGGGAAACUUGGACUAAUACCGGAUACGUCCGAAAGGAGAAAAAUUUAUCGCCGAAGGAUCGGCCCGCGGCUGAUUAGCUAGUUGGUGAGGUAACGGCUCACCAAGGCGACGAUCGGUAGCUGGUCUGAGAGGAUGAUCAGCCUCACUGGGACUGAGACACGGCCCAGACUCCUACGGGAGGCAGCAGUGGGGAAUAUUGGACAAUGGGCGCAAGCCUGAUCCAGCCAUGCCGCGUGGGUGAUGAAGGCCCUAGGGUUGUAAAGCCCUUUCGGCGGGGAAGAUAAUGACGGUACCCGCAGAAGAAGCCCCGGCUAACUUCGUGCCAGCAGCCGCGGUAAUACGAAGGGGGCUAGCGUUGCUCGGAAUCACUGGGCGUAAAGCGCACGUAGGCGGAUCGUUAAGUCGGAGGUGAAAUCCUGGAGCUCAACUCCAGAACUGCCUUCGAUACUAGCGAUCUUGGAGUCCGGGAGAGG